UCAGCUCGCGUGCCACCUUCGGCACAUGUGCCAUAGGUUGCCUACCCCUGCCAUAGGGAAUGUGGCCUGGGAAGGAAUUUGCCCAUCUGUAAAAUGGGCAGCCCAGCCCAGCCCUGCCCAUCUCUCUAUAACGCUUGCAGAGACUGAAAGCUAAAGCAGGAGCUAAGUGUUAAGAUGGUCCCUAAAGCCGCUGCCCUGGCUGGCAGUGCAGGGUCCGGGGCUGAGCAGACAAGCGAGCCAGUUACGCCCUGGCUGGAGAAAGAACCUCCUAAUUGCAGCAGCUCCUGGCAGAUGGAGUGAGAGCCCCCUGGCCACCUCCCAGCUAAUACCCUUGUCUUUGUUCCCCUGCAGCAUCUGGCUGGUGGAAGGUCCUGUCCGUGCCUCCCGUGCAGUCAGCAGGGGCCUGGGAAGAGGACGGGACAGACCCUAUGGGAGCAGAGAUGACAGUAGGGGUAGGUGAGAAUGUCUGGUACAGCGCCCGUAUGAUCAGGUACAUGGAUAGAGAAUUGCUCUUGCCCUUGACCAGAAGACCCCCCUCACCCCCAACUGGCUGAGUGGUGCAGUUGAUGACCGGGUGGUAGAGCGGCAGGAGGACGUGGGUUAAGGAGGAACCUGGGAACCCAAUGAAUGCGGCCCCGGCUGGCUGGCCCGGCAGAGAGCCCGUCCUGCUGUGUGCUGCCUUCCCCAGGCUCAUCCUCUGAACCUGAUCCAAACCCAUCAAACGUCCUCCUGGAGUGGCUUGGCCCAGGCCUGGACACGAGGCUCAUUCCACUCCCCUGUUCCCCUCCAUCUCUGGGCCGGGCAGGGAGGAACCUGGCUAAUUAGCCCAGUAGGAAGGGAGCGGUUGUCAGUGAUUGGAGGGAUACAGCUGUGAUUGAUGCCGGCUGGGAAGAGCUGGCUGGGGCAGUGUCUAAGCGCCACGUCUGUAAAGCAGGCCUCCCGGGCACUUGCUGCUAGAGAUCGCUGGGCCCUAUACGGAGCUUUGUUCUUAGCACAGUACAUGGAGCCUUCUCCUGCUCUCUGGGAGAAAGGCGGCUCAGGCGAUGGGCAGAUGCCAUGCUUGGGAGGGAUGCUGUACCUUUGGAAGUAGCUGGCUUGUGGGGUGAGGAUUUUGAGUGGCUGCUCAUCAGGUCAGAUGGUGGCACCUGAUCUAGCUCAGAUGCCCUGACUGGGGAAUCGUGGCAGGUUUUCUGCUUUGUCCGUUGCGGGAGGGGAACAGUAAAUAUUUGGGACGAUGAAUGAACUGGCCUGUGCAAAUGCAACGAGCUGGGUUAGCCUUGCUGAGUGCUAUUGGUUUGGGGAGCAUCACGAGUAUACGUGGCAUUUGAAAAGCCCAAGGUCCCUGCCCCAAGGAGUCUAGCACAGUGGAGACAAGUAAGCUGGUGCGUCCGACGCCAGUGGGUGAAGGGAGGCGGCGAGGAGAGGGGGGUAGGAGGGGAGGGUGCUGGGUGCCUGGGAAGAGGGAGCCCGUUCUAGGUGAAGUGGGAAUGACGGCCCAAAGGGGCGAGUGAAAGGAGAUGGAGGGGGAGCUGACGCAGACAGAGGUAGGAGUGGGAGCAGGGACGGGGCGAUGGACUCACAGCAUCGCAUGCAAGUGGCCUGCGUAAUGAAAGCUAGAGAGGCCAAGGACAGGUGACUCCAAACCGUGACCGUGGUACAGAGCAGCGAUUCCCGUCUCCCGCGGAGCAGCCGCUCUGAUCAGCUAUUCAGCUCAUUCCUGUAUCGAUCCCAUCUGUGGCACUGUUGAUAAGAUGAUCUCGAGUGGCGGCUCGACUGCAGCCCUUCAAAGAGCUGUGCGACCGAGAAGCAGGGGGGGCUGCUGCUCACGUCUCUAACCCAGCCGCUUGUAUGGGGCAGUGAGAGGCACUGACUCAAAGGCAAGAAGGACGGAGCAUUUAACAACCAAGUAACAUCGUGUCUGGCAAACGGGGACAUGUGUGAAAUGCUGGCUAACAGCCUAAAACCUACCACUAGGUCAUGCUGCCCCUCCCUGAUGCUUGCUGGAAGGACCUGAAAGCUCCUUUGCUUUUCUCCAGAAUGCAGACCUGACUUUCACACCUGGCUCUCGUCUCUCCCGAGACAGACCCACCUCCAGUCAGAGUCCUGCACCUCAGCCCUCCCUCCAGCAGGCGUUCAUCUCCCCGCUUCACUGAUGGCUUAAGGACAGUGCAGAGGUAAUAAAUCCACUUGCUGGGGUGGCAUGGGAAUGGAAAGGCCUGAGAUUCCAGAAAUAGCUGGAAUGUCCCGGGUCGGUGAUCAGUGUGUGAGCCAUGGUAUGUGGGCACCUCUGCGCACUGGCUACCUCGUCCCAAGGCUGUGACCGGGCGCCUGCUUCUGUAACAAGGCGUACCCCGGCCUAGCAAAAACCUGGGCUUGCUGGAUGUGAUGUUAUUGAUAUAAUCUGGGACCAUAUAGAACACGGCUGCAACCAAGGUCCUGUAGUGGCACCAAAUUGUAUGUAAAGGGGGUUAUAUAAGGUGUCUCAGACCAGGUUAUGGGUUGCUGGUUAUGAUUAUGCUGUCUGGAUGUAUGUAUCAUUUUGUAGUUGAAGUUAUGAGU